UCACGGGUGGUGUAGUGGAAGCACACUUGGACGAGCAGUGACUAGGUCAAGCUGGUUCAGAGAGCAGGGGUUCGAAUCCCUUCCCGUGCC